rnacentral:misc_RNA from 3 species
AACGCACCUUGCGCUCCUUGGUAUUCCGAGGAGCAUGCCUGUUUGAGUGUCAUUAAAUUAUCAACCUCUUCAAGAGGCUUGGAUUUGGAGUGUUGCUGGCUUGUUGUUGGCUCCUCUUAAAUGAAUUAAGCUUGUGUGUAGGCUUUGGUUUGAUAAUAUCUAUGCCAUCGCUGCAAUGCAAAACAACCUUGAAAUUUGACCUCAAAUCAGGUAGGACUACCCGCUGAACUUAA